UGCAAGUCGAGCGGCAGCGCGGGGGCACCCUGGCGGCGAGCGGCGGACGGGUGAGGAAUGCAUCGGAAUCUACCUCGUUGUGGGGGAUAACCUCGGGAAACCGGGACUAAUACCGCAUACGACCUACGGGUGAAAGUGGGGGACCUUCGGGCCUCACGCGAUGAGAUGAGCCGAUGCCGGAUUAGCUAGUUGGCGGGGUAAAGGCCCACCAAGGCGACGAUCCGUAGCUGGUCUGAGAGGAUGAUCAGCCACACUGGAACUGAGACACGGUCCAGACUCCUACGGGAGGCAGCAGUGGGGAAUAUUGGACAAUGGGCGCAAGCCUGAUCCAGCCAUGCCGCGUGUGUGAAGAAGGCCUUCGGGUUGUAAAGCACUUUUGUUGGGGAAGAAACCGGCCGGAUUAAUACUUCGGCUGAAUGACGGUACCCAAAGAAUAAGCACCGGCUAACUUCGUGCCAGCAGCCGCGGUAAUACGAAGGGUGCAAGCGUUACUCGGAAUUACUGGGCGUAAAGCGUGCGUAGGCGGUUUGUUAAGUCUGUCGUGAAAGCCCCGGGCUCAACCUGGGAAUGGCGAUGGAUACUGGCAAGCUAGAGUGUGUCAGAGGAUGGUGGAAUUCCCGGUGUAGCGGUGAAAUGCGUAGAGAUCGGGAGGAACACCAGUGGCG
rnacentral:rRNA from 1 species